GGGGAAUAUUGCACAAUGGGGGAAACCCUGAUGCAGCAACGCCGCGUGAAGGAAGACGGUUUUCGGAUUGUAAACUUCUAUCAAUAGGGACGAAGAAAGUGACGGUACCUAAAUAAGAAGCCCCGGCUAACUACGUGCCAGCAGCCGCGGUAAUACGUAGGGGGCAAGCGUUAUCCGGAAUUACUGGGUGUAAAGGGUGAGUAGGCGGCAUGACAAGUAAGAUGUGAAAGCCCGUGGCUUAACCACGGGAUUGCAUUUUAAACUGUUGGGCUAGAGUACAGGAGAGGAAAGCGGAAUUCCCAGUGUAGCGGUGAAAUGCGUAGAUAUUGGGAAGAACACCAGUGGCGAAGGCGGCUUUCUGGACUGAAACUGACGCUGAGGCACGAAAGCGUGGGGAGCAAACAGGAUUAGAUACCCUGGUAGUCCACGCCGUAAACGAUGAGUGCUAGGUGUCGGAGGGGAACCUUCGGUGCCGCAGCAAACGCAAUAAGCACUCCACCUGGGGAGUACGAUCGCAAGAUUGAAACUCAAAGGAAUUGACGGGGGCCCGCACAAGCGGUGGAGCAUGUGGUUUAAUUCGAAGCAACGCGAAGAACCUUACCAAGGCUUGACAUCCUCCUGACUGGUGUAGAGAUACACUUUCUCUUCGGAGCAGGAGAGACAGGUGGUGCAUGGUUGUCGUCAGCUCGUGUCGUGAGAUGUUGGGUUAAGUCCCGCAACGAGCGCAACCCUUAUCUUCAGUAGCCAGCAAGUAGCGUUGGGCACUCUGGAGAGACUGCCGUGGAUAACACGGAGGAAGGUGGGGGAUGACGUCAAAUCAUCAUGCCCCUUAUGUCUUGGGCAACACACGUGCUACAAUGGGCGGAACAAAGUGAAGCAAAGUCGUGAGGCAGAGCGAAUCUCAAAAAUAACGUCUCAGUUCGGAUUGUAGUCUGCAACUCGACUACAUGAAGCUGGAAUCGCUAGUAAUCGCAGAUCAGAAUGCUGCGGUGAAUACGUUCCCG
rnacentral:rRNA from 1 species